CCCAGGCUGACAGAUUCUCCCCAAAGCCCAGCAUGGGUCCUUCCAGGCUGUCCUUUCAUAUAAAGAUGCUGCCUCGCGACGACCGCCUGGCCUCCGGUGGUCCUGUGGCCCUUUCCAGGAUCGAGGCUCCAGGAAGGCUCGGGAGCCACUGCAGGCCGCACCGUGACCCCGCCCACCCCCAGCCGCACCCCAUGUCCACCAGGAGCCCAGAGGCCCCAGCCACCCGCCUUCCCCGGGGGCCAGGGGAGCCAGCUGUCUGCAGCAGUCAGAGGUGCCGUUCUCAAGCGCGGGGCUGGGACCCAGCCCCCGAACCCCAAUCCCAAUGCCGCAGGCCCGCGUCCCUUAGCCUCCGGGUGCCUCGGCACCCUCACCUGUGAAAUGGGAAACUCUGAGCACGGCAGUAAGGCUCGGGAGCAUUAACAGCAGAUCCUGGCAAGUGUCAAUGCUCAGCGCCUGUCCCCGUCCCCGUCCCGCAGUGGAAGGAGCCAUCGGGGAGCGGCGUAGCCCACCGCACCAGCAGCACCUGCCGCCCGCCACGCACCACUCCCAGCUCCGGCCCCACGGCCCCCCUGAGCCCUCACAACCUUAGUAUCUGUUGGCUCAGCUCGGGGAGGUGGCCUGCGUCCGGCCUCUCGGUGUCGGCUGUGGGGUGCGGGUACAGGGUCCGUGCAGGGAGGCACCCAGCGGGGCAGGAGCCCACCAUGCGGGGUCACGGGCCUCCCCUCAGACGGGCGCGGCACCUGAAAGCAAGCAGAGUGGCCUACCUGGGCUGUGGGGUGUGGGCCUCACUGGGGCCCGAGAGGGGAACGGCCCUGGACCCGACCCCGCAGGCGCCUGGGCACUUGGAGGCAGCCUAGAGGCUUCAGCCUCCCGCCGUUUGAGUCACCAAGGGGCAGGUGCCGGUGGCGUCCACCUGGAGGGUCCCCAGCGCACAGGCCCGACCACUGCAGGUGGUCUGCAUGUCCUGGCACCGUCGUACUCAUGCAGAUGCUCCAAGCCGGCUUCCCGCUCCCGAGGAUGGGAGCCCUGCCGCACGCGCCCGAACCUGCAGGGCGAAUGGGCCCCAUGAAGAUCCCCGAGGAGCAGCCGCUGGAGGACGGCAUCGCCCCAAAGCUCCACGUCUUGAUUCGGGUCCGGGUCGGCCCAGGGACGCAGGGCUCAAAGCUCAGUGCCCGGGGUCUACAUGUCAUCGCCCAUCGGGGGAAAGCCCUGGGAAGCCGUGAGAGGGAAGCAGGUGGAGGAGGCACGCGCACCCCAAGUCCACGCUUGCAGGGAGCACAGCGCACGCACACCAGUAGCCGUCGAAGCAGGAUUGGGACGACGGAACAUCCUCGCAAAUGCUCAGCAGCCGCGAGCACACACACGAACAGACUCUACAGACAAAGGGCCAAGCGCUGGCACGUGGGCAACCGCAAGGCUGCCAUUCCGGGAGCUGUGGGCAGGGCCCCGGAGGCCACGCUGGCUGGGCCGAGAACCAGGCCCGGCAUCACCGACACGCUCACUGGACAUGCGGCCCCAGCCUUCGGAAUCGGAGCGGACCCCGGGGUUAGCUGUCCGCCCGUUCACGUCUGCAAAGCAUCCCCCUAGACCCCCGUUUAUCCGUCUUCUGCAACCCGGGGGCCCCUCAUGAUCCACGUGAGAUGAUCGCUUCCUCCUCUGACGUUUAAAAUCGUUGCAAGAAUUGAAUACGAGUGAAAGCAAUGCUGGUUCUGAAGCUGUUUCUCCCACUGAGUGCAAGCGUCCGCUCUGGCUCCUCACCCGGCACGUUGAAAGCGGCGCCACCUCCCCAACUCCAGGGGUCAAGGCCGAGGCUACGGCAAGCCCCCCAGGUGGAGAAUGAAUUAUCUAAAGAGCCUCAACCUCCCGGGUUGGGGGGGCGGGAGGAGGCAGGGGCAAUGCAUGGCCCCGGGGUGGAGGGGGGCAGUCCGAGAAGCCCCGGCUUCUGCACGGACCCCUCCAGAGGCAGGAAGCAGGGAGCCCCAUUCCAGGGACAGGCAGGUGUCAGCAACGACUCAAAGCCCGCCGCCCGGUCAUGUCGGUCUCACUGCCCGCGUGCGGCCCCCGAUGGCAGCUCUGUAGCCCUUUCCCGGGCCCCUGACAACAGCCAUCGCUUCCCCCGAGGGCCUCCUUGCUCCAAGCAAACACCCCAAAGUCCUUCCGUGUCCAUCUGGCAACAUGAACGGGAUAUCCCUUCGGAGUCCUACUCGCUCUCCCUCGUAAAAACCCGCAUCUGUCACUGUCCCUCUACGGACACGGCCGGGAGGGAACAUGCUUAAGCUCUGGGCUUUUCUUUUACACCCAACUUUGUCUCCACUGAAAAAUGCAUUCUUAGGGGGCACCCGGGUGGUUCAGCGGUUUAGCGCCACCUUCGACCCAGGUCAUGACCCUGGAGUCCCGGGAUCCAGUCCCGCGCCGGGCUCCCGGCAUGGAGCCUGCUUCUCCCUCUGCCUGUGUCUCUGCCUCUCUCUCUCUCUCAUGAAUAAAAAAAUAAAAUAUUUUUUAAAAAUGCA
ensembl:lncRNA